rnacentral:rRNA from 1 species
GAUGAACGCUGGCGGCGUGCCUAAUACAUGCAAGUCGAGCGAACGGACGAGAAGCUUGCUUCUCUGAUGUUAGCGGCGGACGGGUGAGUAACACGUGGAUAACCUACCUAUCAGACUGGGAUAACUUCGGGAAACCGGAGCUCAUACCGGAUAAUAUUUUGAACCGCAUGGUUCAAAAGUGAAAGACGGUCUUGCUGUCACUUAUAGAUGUAUCCGCGCUGCAUUAGCUAGUUGGUAAGGUAACGGCUUACCAAGGCAACGAUGCAUAGCCGACCUGAGAGGGUGAUCGGCCACACUGGAACUGAGACACGGUCCAGACUCCUACGGGAGGCAGCAGUAGGGAAUAUUCCGCAAUGGGCGAAAGCCUGACGGAGCAAAGCCGCGUGAGUGAUGAAGGUCUUCGGAUCGUAAAACUCUGUUAGUAGGGAAGAACAUAUGUGUAAGUAACUGUGCACAUAUUGACGGUACCUAAUCAGAAAGCCACGGCUAACUACGUG